rnacentral:rRNA from 1 species
UACGAAGGGAGCUAGCGUUGUUCGGAUUUACUGGGCGUAAAGCGCGCGCAGGCGGAUGUGCAAGUCGGAAGUGAAAUCCCGGGGCUCAACUCCGGGGCUGCUCCCGAAACGGCACGUCUAGGGACCGGUAGAGGCUGGUAGAAUUCCCGGUGUAGCGGUGGAAUGCGUAGAGAUCGGGAAGAAUACCCGUGGCGAAGGCGGCCAGCUGGGCCGGAUCCGACGCUGAGGCGCGAAAGCGUGGGGAGCAAACAGG